UGGGGAAUAUUGCACAAUGGGCGCAAGCCUGAUGCAGCAACGCCGCGUGAGGGAUGACGGCCUUCGGGUUGUAAACCUCUUUUAGUAGGGAAGAAGCGAAAGUGACGGUACCUGCAGAAAAAGCACCGGCUAACUACGUGCCAGCAGCCGCGGUAAUACGUAGGGUGCGAGCGUUGUCCGGAAUUAUUGGGCGUAAAGAGCUCGUAGGCGGUCUGUCGCGUCUGCUGUGAAAACCCGAGGCUCAACCUCGGGCCCUGCAGUGGGUACGGGCAGACUAGAGUGCGGUAGGGGAGAAUGGAAUUCCUGGUGUAGCGGUGGAAUGCGCAGAUAUCAGGAGGAACACCGAUGGCGAAGGCAGUUCUCUGGGCCGUAACUGACGCUGAGGAGCGAAAGCGUGGGGAGCGAACAGGAUUAGAUACCCUGGUAGUCCACGCCGUAAACGUUGGGCGCUAGAUGUGGGGACCAUUCCACGGUUUCCGUGUCGCAGCUAACGCAUU
rnacentral:rRNA from 1 species